GCGGAAAGUCAAAUGUGAAAGUCUCCCUUCACGAAUCUCACAGCCAACCAUUAAUAAUUAGAUUUGUAUCCUUUAACAUUUUUUUUCUAUGUACAUACAGGCAUUUGAAAUAAAAGAGCCCUUCAUGUUAUGUCUGUUACAGAACCAGGAAGAUCCUGAUAAAGACACUGCACUCCACCCAGAUUCCCUUGGAGUCUAUGCGCUGUUUCUGGGCUCAUCCUCCAGCCUCAGUGUGUUUGCUAUUAGAGAGUUACUUUGUCCCUGAUAGCCCACCUUUGGAAUGUUUGGCCACCUUCAUUGCGGUCAGUGACUGAGGUGCCUGCCAACUGGCCCCUUCAGGUGUCAGGACUGGACUCUGGGAAGGCUUGAUGUGUCUUUCUCUGGGCAUCAGAAGGAUGUGCCCCCAAGCUGCACCACUGCGGAUGGAAGUGGACAAGAAGGACUUGGUUUUGUUGAGGAUCUGGAAGACAUCACUGACUUAGUUUCCUGGGGCUGCCGUAACAAAGUGCCACAAACUGGGUGACUUCAAACAACAGAAUCUCACUGUCUCACAGU
rnacentral:lncRNA from 1 species